UCUGUGAGUGCUACAAGUAUAUCACCUUCUAUUGUGUUUUUUUAUUGAUUAACUUACUAAUUUGCCGCACUACUGGUGCUGUUGCUAUGCUUAGCAAGCCAAACCCAGAUGACCUGGGACAUGUUGAUUCAGUUUCAGUAGAAGAAAUUGGUGGUGCUAGGGUACAUAAAUAUUUUGUGGAUCAGGAAACGAUAGCAAUUGCAAUAUAAGUAUCCGGGUGUGACUCGAACUUCAGACUUUGUGUGAGCAAACCAAAGGCUGAUUGUUUGAGCUACAACCCUUGGGUAUUUUGUUCUUGUUGUUUUUAUUAUUUAUUUUUCCUUUUAAUCUCAUUAACAUUUCCCAUAAUGUAAAUAUAGGUCACUGUUGUGAAGAAUGAAGAAGGUGGGAACUCCGUAACCACUGUUUUAUUGUGAGGAACCACAGAUAGCAUUUUAGAUGACAUUGAAAGAGCAGCUGAUGAUGGAGUAAAUAAUUACAAGGAAAUUUUGACUUGUUUUUCUUUGUGUAUCGAUCUUUAUUUAGAAGCAACAUUAGGUAUCUUUAAUUGUCUAUUACAAUCUUCUUAGGAUGGUAUGACCGUAUGAUCCAUACAGAGUAGGUUUUUUGACAGUACUUGUUGCAUCAGACUUAUGAAUUGGAAACUUAUCUACCCCACUAACCAUUCUUACCGGGUACUUUUCCUGUUAGGCUAUGUGCGGGGAUAGCCGAAUGGUUCCUGGUGUAGUUGCUACUGAAAUUGAAUUAGCUAAGAGAGUGAAAGAGUAUUCAUUUAAAGAAACAAGGUAAUUUGUUUGUUUCCACUUUUGUUUUUUUUUUCCCAGUUUUUGUUUGUCUUGUUUCCCAUAACCUAACUCUAAACACAUUUCCCACUUCCAACUUAGAAAGAAAGAGAAACUUUGAGAGAAUAAGAGGAAUAGCAUGGGCUUCAUAAAGGACCUCUAACAGCCAUAUUCACAUUCUACUUGUUAAUUUGGAUGCCAUACUUGAUGCCCUGUUGGUUACCUAUCACAGAGAGAAUUUUGCCAAAGCUAUUUACACAUCAAUGCUAUGUUUGUAUUGAACUUUACAGAAAGGAAUUAACCUUGCUAGGUCUUUAGAGAAGGAAUAAAUGGGGAUAGAAGUUAGUACAAACUGUAUGAAUUGUUUCUUCAUAUUGGUUCUUCUUAUGGAAUAUAGGGUGAUAAAUUAUUUAGUAUUAAUUGUUCUUUCCCUUUCUUUUUCUCCUGAGUUGCAUAGGUCUGGUUUCCUGGUUUCCUUUACUCUCAAAUGUGCUAAGUUUCAAUUCUUGUAUUUAAUGACCUUAUUUGUUUUCUUUUUCCUCUGAAAUUAGUUUCUCUCUAUGUUAUUUGUUCUUUUUGUUUUUCUUGAUUUAUAUUAUUUCUUUAUGGGAGUGAUUUUAGUAAUAAUAAGAAACUAGCUUUUGGUG